CCCUGCGUUCUUAACACAAAAGGCAGAGAACGAGUGAGAGAGAGAGAGAGAGAGAGAUAAGGAGAGAGAGAAGGAGAGAGAUAGUGAAAGAGAGAGAAGAAGAGAGAGAGGAGAGCGAGAGAGAUAAGGACAGAGAGAAUGAGAGUGAGAGAGAGAGAUAGAGAAAGAGAGGAGAGCAAGAGAGAGAUAGAGAAAGAGAGAGAGGAGAGCGAGAGAGAGAUAGAGAAAGAGAGGAGAGCAAGAGAGAUAGAGAAAGAGAGGAGAGUGAGAGAGAAGGAGAGAGAGAUAGAGAAAGAGAGAGAGGAGAGCGAGAGAGAGAUAGAGAAAGAGAGGAGAGAGAGAGAGAUAGAGAAAGAGAGAGAGGAGAGCGAGAGAGAGAUAGAGGAAAGAGAG
ensembl:lncRNA